GGGAAUGUAGUUCAGUUGGUAGACUGCUUGCCUAGCAUGCAUGAGGCUCUGGGUUCCAUUCCCAGCAUUACAU
rnacentral:tRNA from 1 species